CGGAGAGGAGCUGUGUCUCCGCAGGCACCACGGGAGCUUUGGCUGGGGCGACGGGGUCAGCUUCUCUGCUGAUAAGAGCUCAGUCUCCUUAGGACUUGCUGGGGUUUCGGCUUCAGGACAAAGUGGAGCUGCGUCCACGCUGACGGGAGCUGGGUUUCCUGACGACCCAGACGAUGCUGGGAGGAAAAGUGCGAGGGCUUCCCUGGUGGUGCAGUGGUUGAGAGUCCGCCUGCCGAUGCAGGGGACACGGGUUCGUGCCCCGGUCCGGGAAGAUCCCACAUGCCGUGGAGCGGCUGGGCCCGUAAGCCAUGGCCACUGAGCCUGCGCGUCCGGAGCCUGUGCUCUGCAAUGGGAGAGGCCACAACAGUGAGAGGCCCGCGUACCGCAAAAGAAAAAAACAGUACCCAUUUAUUCUCUAGUUCUGCCACAGGGAGACACCCUCCUUGAAAAGGCGUUAAAUCCUUCCGUUCACUUUAACACCUUGUGCUGAAAACACGUGUUCCAAGUUUUCAGCUAUGAGAUCCACAUUCUUAAAGCACUAAUUCUUAAACCUCAUCUAGAUUUCUCCCCUUGGAUGGGGGGAGAUGACCCAAACACAGCGAAGAACAGCUCAGAACUGUGAGCUCUGCUCGCCCAGAAGACUUUGCAGCUCCCCUGACCACCCGGCUGGAGCCAGGAUUAGGGCCUUGAGACGAGGAGCACCUGCUGGGCUGCCGCCACUGCCACCAGCCCCCUAACUCCUGUCCUCUUCACUGGCUUGCUGUCACCUCUAGUUUCCCUGGAGCUUGGGGAUUCCAGACGGUCUCUGCUCACACUUCUGCAUCACACCUGCUGCCUCAGCACUGCUGAUCCACACCAAGGGGGAAAAGCACACAGAACUGCUUUUCAACACACCAACGUUCCACAUAAAAGUUAUUUUAUAAGCCUGCAGGUUCUUUUUCAUCAGAGGACAUUCCCAAGGCCAUGACUUCCCCCAGCUCCCCACUGCCCUUGCCGGCAGACUGGGCAUGCUUGGUCACGGUGCUGAGUCGGGCACACGCCCCGGCUCCACUCAGGCGCACUCUCCUGGAGAACUGAGGGCAGUGCCCUGGGCUCAUCAGCAGGAUCUGUCCUGAAGCCAGUCCGAGAGUGACAAGAGCCACACCUGCAGGUCUGUUCCACUGACCAGCCGCACAGGACCGAGCUGGGCCCACGGACCUUGGUCUGGAUUGUGUUGGCUGGUCAUUCUUGCCUAGGUUCACAGACCAACAGCCAGUGUUCUUCCUUUCCUGCUCAUCACUGCACCAGCGGCUCACUCCUACCUGCUGCCGUCACACGCCUGGCAACCUCGUGUUCCGGGGCCAGCCAAGAACUGAGACCCCAGCAGGCCCCUAGUUCCCAGCAGGCAAAUUCCCCACUAAACUACUGCUGCCUAGCCGUGUUCUCGAGGCUUCAGAGCCGGGAAAGUGCGGAGAGCGUAGCAAGCCGCGGCGCCCCCAUCCCCGGACCUGCGAUGCACCGCGGAGGCGCCAGAACCUCGUCGCACCGCACUCCCCGCCCCAACACAAGCGACAUCAGCGCCCACCUGUCCCGGGGACCUGGGCGCACCUCCGGCCACCGCGACCCUGGACGGAGACGCGGGCGCAGG